rnacentral:rRNA from 1 species
UACGUAGGGUGCGAGCGUUGUCCGGAAUUAUUGGGCGUAAAGAGCUCGUAGGCGGUUUGUUGCGUCGGCCGUGAAAACUUGGGGCUUAACCCCGAGCCUGCGGUCGAUACGGGCAGACUUGAGUUCGGCAGGGGAGACUGGAAUUCCUGGUGUAACGGUGAAAUGCGCAGAUAUCAGGAGGAACACCGGUGGCGAAGGCGGGUCUCUGGGCCGAUACUGACGCUGAGGAGCGAAAGCGUGGGGAGCGAACAGG